rnacentral:rRNA from 1 species
AAUAGAUACCCGGGUAGUCCACGCCGUAAACGUUGGGCGCUAGAUGUGGGGACCUUUCCACGGUUUCCGUGUCGUAGCUAACGCAUUAAGCGCCCCGCCUGGGGAGUACGGCCGCAAGGCUAAAACUCAAAGGAAUUGACGGGGGCCCGCACAAGCGGCGGAGCAUGCGGAUUAAUUCGAUGCAACGCGAAGAACCUUACCAAGGCUUGACAGUACACGAGAACGGGCCAGAAAUGGUCAACUCUUUGGGACACUCGUGAACAGGUGGUGCAUGGUUGUCGUCAGCUCGUGUCGUGAGAUGUUGGGUUAAGUCCCGCAACGAGCGCAACCCUCGUCGCAUGUUGCCAGCACGUUAUGGUGGGGACUCAUGUGAGACUGCCGGGGUCAACUCGGAGGAAGGUGGGGAUGACGUCAAAUCAUCAUGCCCCUUAUGUCUUGGGCUUCACGCAUGCUACAAUGGCCGGUACAAGGGCUGCGAUGUCGUAAGGCGGAGCGAAUCCCGAAAAGCCGGUCUCAGUUCGGAUUGAGGUCUGC